AAAAAUAGAUUUACUUGGGUUUACUUCUUUUUUUCUGUUUUCUAGCUAAAACCAAUUGACAAACCGAUACCAUAAAUCUAAGAUAAUAGAUAAAUAUUGUUAUGACCGACCAUAAUUGUAAAUUUGUUUGGUGAAAAUGGGUUUCUCGGAGCUGAAUCUUCUCUAACUGUGGAGAGAUGUGGAGAAAAUAUAGACAUUGCAGAGCUCACAGACUUCCUUUGUGCUGCUUCGAUGGUUAGAGAAUUUAGUGAGUUUCACACUGACCCUGAAGAUCGAAAGCUUAGAUAUGACGUUAAGAAAAAAAGUUAGAAUUGAAAUAUGAGCCAAUGUCAGUUGUUGAUGACGAGCCGGUUUGCCUACCAAUGAUAAAAUUUGGGGUUUCAAAAGAGACAUGACUCAUCACACAUAGAUCACUUCCGGAGUUAGUCACAAAGCAACUUUUUUUCUACUAUGAGAAUGUCUUUCUCACACCUAAAAGCGUUUGAAAAACUAUCUCAGGAUACUUGUUUGAUAUCCCACCUAAGUUUUUUGACUCGAAAUAUUUAUGUAUUUCAGCACAAAUCAGCACAAAGAGAGGUAACAUCCACAAUCUUCCAAUCCAUAAUAGAAUCCAUCAACUGCCACCGAAAUACACAAUUCGUGAUGCAUUUCCAUUUACUAAGAGAUGGUGGCCAACAGACUAGGAUAAAAAAGCCCAAGCUAAACUGCAUUUUGAUUUGUACAAGGAGUGCCCAAUUAACUAACAUGAUCCGUUUAGCCCUUGAACCUUACAAUGGAGAACUAAAACCGCAUAAUCUUUUUCUGACGAAAUAAUUUAAUGAAACUAUAGAUGAGCAAUACUAUUGUAUCUAAUGAA
rnacentral:sRNA from 1 species